rnacentral:rRNA from 1 species
CCUACGGGCGGCAGCAGUGAGGAAUAUUGGUCAAUGGGCGCGAGCCUGAACCAGCCAAGUCGCGUGAGGGAAGACGGUCCUAUGGAUUGUAAACCUCUUUUGUCGGGGAGCAAAAGACGCCACGCGUGGCGUUCCGAGAGUACCCUAAGAAAAAGCAUCGGCUAACUCCGUGCCAGCAGCCGCGGUAAUACGGAGGGUGCGAGCGUUAUCCGGAUUUAUUGGGGUUAAAGGGUGCGGAGGCGGAAAGAUAAGUCAGCGGUAAAAUUGAGGGGCUCAACCUCUUCGGUGCGUUUGAAACUGUGUGGCUUGAGUGAGCGAGAGGUAUGCGGAAUGCGUGGUGUAGCGGUGAAAUGCAUAGAGAUCACGCAGAACUCCGAUUGCGAAGGCAGCAUACCGGAGCUCAACUGACGCUCAGGCACGAAAGUGUGGGGAGCGAACAGGAUUAGAUACCCCAGUAGUC